rnacentral:tRNA from 1 species
UAGCGACCAGUAUAACCAAAACACCUGAUUUUGACUCAGGAAAUCCCAGGCCCACUGGGGUCGCCAA